GACGAACGCUGGCGGCGUGCUUAACACAUGCAAGUCGAGCGGUAAGGCCCUUUCGGGGGUACACGAGCGGCGAACGGGUGAGUAACACGUGGGUGACCUGCCUUUAGCUCUGGGAUAAGCCUGGGAAACCGGGUCUAAUACCGGAUAUGACUCCGCGGCGCAUGUUGUGGGGUGGAAAGCCUUGUGCGGCUGGAGAUGGGCCCGCGGCCUAUCAGCUUGUUGGUGGGGUGAUGGCCACCAAGGCGACGACGGGUAGCCGGCCUGAGAGGGCGACCGGCCACACUGGGACUGAGACACGGCCCAGACUCCUACGGGAGGCAGCAGUGGGGAAUCUUGCGCAAUGGGCGAAAGCCUGACGCAGCGACGCCGCGUGAGGGAUGAC
rnacentral:rRNA from 1 species